CCUUCCAUGCUUCCAAGAAAAGCAUCUAGAGAGAGAAGUAGUGCCCGUACCGCAAACCGACACAGGUAGAUGAGGAGAGAAUCCUAAGGCCGGCGGAAGAAUUGCAGUUAAGGAACUAGGCAAAUUGACCCCGUAAGUUAGCGAGAAGGGGUGCCUGCGAGAGCAGGCCGCAGAGAAUAGGCCCAAGCAACUGUUUAGCAAAAACACAGGUCUCUGCUAAAGCGCAAGCUGAUGUAUAGGGGCUGACGCCUGCCCGGUGCUGGAAGGUUAAGGGGAACACUUAGCGCAAGUGAAGGUGUGAACUUAAGCCCCAGUAAACGGCGGCCAUAACAAUAACGGUCCUAAGGUAGCGAAAUUCCUUGUCAGGUAAGUUCUGACCCGCACGAAUGGCGUAAUGACUUGGGCACUGUCUCAACUGCAAAUCCGGCGAAGUUGUAGUGCGAGUGAAGAUGCUCGCUACCCGCGAUUGGACGGAAAGACCCCGUAGAGCUUUACUGUAGCUUAGCAUUGAAUUCCGGUAUUGUCUGUACAGGAUAGGUGGGAGACUGGGAAACUAGGGCGUCAGCCUUGGUGGAGUCGUCCUUGGGAUACCACCCUGACAGUACUGGAGUUCUAACAGGACACCAUGAAUCUGGUGACUGGACAUUGUUAGGUGGGCAGUUUGACUGGGGCGGUCGCCUCCUAAAAAGUAACGGAGGCGCCCAAAGGUUCCCUCAGAACGGUCGGAAAUCGUUCGUAGAGUGCAAAGGCAGAAGGGAGCCUGACUGCGAGACCUACAAGUCGAGCAGGGACGAAAGUCGGGCUUAGUGAUCCGGUGGUACCUCGUGGGAGGGCCAUCGCUCAACGGAUAAAAGCUACCUCGGGGAUAACAGGCUGAUCUCCCCCAAGAGUCCACAUCGACGGGGAGGUUUGGCACCUCGAUGUCGGCUCGUCGCAUCCUGGGGCUGUAGUAGGUCCCAAGGGUUGGGCUGUUCGCCCAUUAAAGCGGCACGCGAGCUGGGUUCAGAACGUCGUGAGACAGUUCGGUCCCUAUCCGUCGCGGGCGUAGGAAAUUUGAGAGGAGCUGUCCUUAGUACGAGAGGACCGGGAUGGACUGACCUCUGGUGCACCAGUUGUUCUGCCAAGAGCAUGGCUGGGUAGCUAAGUCGGGAAGGGAUAAACGCUGAAAGCAUCUAAGCGUGAAGCCUCCCUCAAGAUGAGAUUUCCCAUAGCAUAAGCUAGUAAGACCCCUUGAAGAACACGAGGUUGAUAGGUCAGAGGUGUAAGUGUGGUAACAUAUUUAGCUGACUGAUACUAAUAGGUCGAGGGCUUGACC
rnacentral:rRNA from 1 species